UAUAUAUAUAUAUACAUAUAUAAAUAUAUAUAGGACCAGGUUAUAAUGAGAACCAAUUGCAAAAUACGAACUAAGAACCAAUCAAGACUGUUAGAUUAGAAACAAGAGGCGCGUGAUCUAACGGCCGAAAUUGAUUCAGACAAAUUAAAUGUAGCACAAAAACUAAGGCGUGAUUUCUCUCUCCUCUCUCUCUCUAGUCCGUCAUUUUCGCUCUCCUCUCUCUCUACUCUUCUUCGCCAUUUUCAACUACUACUAGCUUUGAAAACCGCCAUAACCGUCCAUACAACUGCUCAAUUUCGCUAUAUAAUCACAAUAAUAACUUCUACUGUCUACAUAUUUCAUUUUCGGAACAAAAAAUUUCGAAAAUAGGCAAAAAUUGACGAAUAUUAGGUAUUAUAUUAAACCUUCGAAGUUCAUACUCUUUUUUGCUAUUUUUGUUGCAAUUUUUACUUGUUUUUUUCUUUUUUUUUUUGCUUGAUUAUGUUAAAUUUGAAGUGCCAGAAGUUAAAUCGGAGUACUUCGAAGUUCAAUUUGGGCAUUUUUAAGUUCGAUUUCUUCUAAAUCAGACAGAUUAAAAUGGCCAAAACUACAAAGAAAAAACCUCCAACAUAACCAGAUCCAGCAAAGGAAGUUUCUGCAGCAAAGGAAAUCCUGCAGCAAAGAAGGUUGCUGCAAGUAAAUAACUUACCGUUGGCAAGAAAUCUCCUGCAGCCAAAAAAUCUCCUGCAACCAAAAUAACUCCCGCAACCAAGAAAUUUCCUGCAAAUUCAAAGCAAUCUCCAAUUAAAGGUGCUAAGCUUCAAAGGAUUUCAAAAAAGCAAAUAUUGAUAAAGAGAAGGAUUAAGGAACUACAAGCAUCAAAAGGAACAAAAAAGAGGAUAAAAUCUAAAGUGAAAGAUAGCAAUUAUCAACCAGAAGAAGAUCAGAAUGAGGAUUCUGAUGGAUCAUCAGAAGAAGACAAAAAAAAGGAAAAAUCUCAUUUGAAGAAAAAAAUGAAGCUUGGCAAUUUUGACCUUUAUUUACAUGAAGUUAUUGAUGUUAAUGAUGAUGGUAAUAUGGAAAUCAAGAAAACACACUGCAGGCCCAAUGCAGUUGUUGAUUUGAUCAAGUAUUUCAGUUAGCAGCAAAAAAAAAAAGAUGUCAUAAGUAUUGGUUUUGGAGGGCUUCUUGAACUAAAGUUAAGAAGAAUUUCAACGAGGAUGCUUCCAUGGCUUUGUCACCAUUUCAAUGAAAGCAGCUGCAUGUUCAAGAUUGACAUGCUGAAGGAAUUUUAAGUUAGUUCCUAUGACGUUGAAGAUACAUUCUUGCUUCCACAUGUAACUGAGAACAAGGUCAGUUUUCAGUUAAGGAAGCAACCUCUAUCAAACUUGUUGAUUCAAAAAGAAUGGAAGAAGAAGAUAGGAAUUCCAGAAGAUGAUGAGAUAAUUGUGAAUAAUUUAGAGAACAAAUUAAAGAUUCUGAAGGAAGGAGGGGAGGAUUUUAAAAGAUUCCUUGUGAUGUAUGUUUGCAGUACAUUCUUGACCCCUAUUGCAAAUAGAGUGAUUGAUUACAAGAUAAUCAACUAUGCAGACAAUGUGAAAUAGAUACAUAACCUAGAUUGGUAUGGCUAUGUGAUGAAUAACCUGUGCAAAGCUGUGGGGAGCUUCAAGAACAAUAAAAACAAGGAAUCAAGAUCAGGAUUCAGUGGAUGUGUCUUGAUUCUUCAACUUGUCUACUUUCAUCAUCUGGCAUUUAGAGGGCAACUUGAACCUACAACACUGCCAUUGAUCAAACAUUGGUCAGAUGAGAAACUGGAAGAAACAAUUGCAAAUGAGGCAUAGGCAUCUUAUGGUCAAGGAGAACUCCAAAAAUAUGACUAUCUAGUUUGUAGAAGAAAAAGAAAGUAAGCAUUCUUGCGAUAUGUAAUUGAGAAUGCUUAUAGAAACUUUGCUGAUAGAGAGAGAACAUUGGUGUCAUUAAAUCUACCAGAAGGUGUCAUGACAGAUUGUGAAAUACAUGAUGCUGCAAAAGAUGAAAUUGAAGAAGAAUUGCAUUUGUUGACCAGAGAUUUAAAACUCUUUGCAAUGAUACAUGCUGAGCGUAUAGGUAUCUUAGGAGAGAAGAUGAAACAACAACAAAUGAAUGUGUCUACAUUAAAUUCUUAAUAGGUUUCUGAAACACAAAGGCUGAUGGAAGAUCCUAGAGUACAAAGGGCUAUAGAUGAAAUAGUCACACUUUAUGAUGAUUUAAGAGAUGUAUCUAGUGUGAUUCUGUCAACAUGGGAGGAGCAACACAAAAAUUCUGAAACAGAUCCUAAAACUAAUCAAGAAGAUGCAUUUGAUCCUAAAUCUGUCAAUUUGGAUGAUGAUGAUGAAGAUAUGAAUAUAGAGGAUAUGGAUUAUGGAAAAAAAAAAGGAGGAGGAAGAAAAGAAGGAGGAAGAAGAGGAGGAGAAGGAAGAAGAGGAUAAAAAGAAGGAGGAAGAAAAUGAGAAAAAGAAGGAUGUGGAAGAAAAGGAAGAAAAGCAGGAGAAUGGCAACAAAGAAAUGGACGAGGAGAACAAGGAAGAAGACAAAUAGGAGAACAAGGAAGGAGACAAAAAGGAGGAUGAGAAACAACUGAAUGAACCAGAGAAGGAACAAGAGAAAAAGGAGGAUGAGAAGCAGAAAGUGAACAUUGAAAAGGAAGAAGAGAUGAAUGAAGAGAGAGAAGAAAAGGAUGCUGAUAACCAGACAGUUGAUGCUUAUAUUAGUAGUGUAGUACACUCAUCACUGAGAGUAUACCAAAUCAGCCAACACAAAAAACAAUUGAAAUGAUGCUGAAAAACAAGUUCAGGAAGAAACAAACAUUGAACUAAAGGACAUUCACCAGGAGAUAGUUUCAAAGGUUAAAAUCAAUUUAGAUUGUGGAGAAAAAGAUGUUGAAAUUGAUUUUGUUUCAAAGACAAUGUAAGGAAAUAAAUCAAGAAUGCAUGAAAUGCCAGAGCUUUAUCAAAUAGUGGUUGAUUACUGCUUUGUGAAGUACAACCCAUUCAAACAUGAAGAGAUUUGGAAAUUUGAAAGUCUUCUCAUGAUAACAAGAGAUGACACAACAUCCCUAGCUCCAAUAGCCCCUGCUUAAAUGAUAAAAUCUAAUAUAGUUCAAUGUUGGUCAUUUCUUAUGAAUGAUUCUUGAUUGAAAGAAGAUCCUUCAUGCUUCUUUUUUGGCAUUGACCACAAUAGACCUCUAGAGCUGUCUCUUAGGUCACAAGAUGCUUCCCAACAAACAGAUAAAGCACAGGUGAAGUCUCCUACAGUACACUCACAAGAAUUGAAUCAGGCAUGCUAUGAUUGGAUGUGCCUAUGUGAUGCAAAAGAGAAAAUAUUAACAGCUCAGUUGAUUUUUGUUCCAAUCUGUCUAAGUAACCACUAUAGUUUGAUAGUGGUUAACUUUAUGAAUCAGACAAUUCAAUACUUCGAUAACAGGGAAUAUGAUGACAGACAUAAGCCUUUCUGCAGAAUUCUUGGAUCUAUUGUGGUGGAGGAAAUGUCAAACUUUCUGAAGAGAAUUAAUCAUGAAAAAGCAAUGAAAUACUAGAAUAUGAGUUUGAUGAAGUAAACUUCAAGUGGAAGACACCAAGAUAUACUCUUGAUUGUGGUGUUUUUCCAAUGAUACAUAUGAUGUGUUUUUCUAGAGACACUUUUGAUUCUGACCUUGAUUUAGCAAAUAGGAGAAAGGUGUAUCGUGUAGAAAUAUGUCCUGCUCUUGCUUUGGCAGACAUAAACACCAAAAGAAAACAACUUAUGGGAAAAUUUUCAAGAUUCAGGGUAGUUAGGAAACUAGAGAAGGAGAAAGGGGUGGAAGAUAUGAUAUGUGUUUCUGAUUUCUUGAAGAAACACAAGGAAGUAAUUGAUAACAUGAGUUUGACAUGUCACCAAGUGAUUGACUACUUAGCAAUAAAUGAUGAUGAAAACUUUCCAAACAACAGGUAUGUUUUAUACUUGCUAAAAAACAAAUACUCAUAUUGCAUUAUAUAUAAUUUUUGUUUGCCAUAAGUAAAACUUUAAUUUUAAUUCAAAAUUACAACGAAGUAGUAGGAUGGUUUAUAGAUUCAAUUGAAAUAGUAAGGCAAGAUUGUAACGCUUUGAUCAAUGAAUGGAAAGUUUCAAGUAAUAUGAUCGCUGCUUGCUCAAACCAUCUCAAUAACAUUGAAAUGCAAAAGGACAGGUUUGAAAAUGACUUGGUCAGAUUCUUCUUUGGAUUUGAGUUAAUGGAAAAAAGGAGUAACAAGUCUGCAAAAACUAUGGAUUGAUUGGAACAGUUCACAAUCAUUGGACUUGGAUGCAGCUCAAUGUGUAUAUAUACCUUUGAAGAUGGAAGAUAAUUAUUUUCUUGCUGUGAUAAACUUCAAAGAUGAAACAAUUGAUCAUCUAGACAGCACUUUGUACGAGUCCAAUGAAGAAUAUGAGUCUGUACAUAGUUUUAUCUUAGAAACGGUGAUACAAGUACAUAAAUUGUUUAAAAAAAGAAAGCAUCCACAAGUAAAUGAUAUGCUAUCUUACAAGCUGAGUAUUCAUUGCAUUCCAAAAAGAAAAAGAAGAUAAUUUCUCAGCAAGCUAUCUACUGGUGCAUAUGAAGGUUUAUGAUGGUGCAAAUGGGAUAGGAUUAGGAACAAUAAAAGAGGAAUUUCCAAGACUGAAUCACCAUCACAUAAGAACAGUGCUUGACCUACUUCUCAAUGAUAAGAAUCAAAUGAAACAAACACUGCUUACAAAUGUUGAGAAUUGGGAAGAGAAGAAAGCAUCUGAACAAUUGUAAAUGAUAUCAGUAGAUUUGAAUACAUUAUAGAUAUUAGAAUUUAUCAUAGAUAUUAGAAUAUAUCAGUAUUUUUAAGUAGUUUGUUUGUAUGAAGAAUACAUAUUAUACCCAUAAGUAUUACUAGUAUUGUUCUGUGACAAAAAUGUUGGUAGAUGUAAAAGUAGAAGAAAUCAAUCACAAAGUAAAUGAAAAUAGUGUUAAAGUAAAUAACACUAUGUUUAAAGUAAAGAUUUUUUUUAAAAACCUUUCUAAAUUAUGGUGUUCGAUUUUAAAGUAAACAAAAAUAUUGUUAAACUAAUAAAAAAUGGAUCUAAAGUAGAGGUGGAGAUAGGAAAAAGUAUUAAAGUCAAUACAAGAAAAAAAAUUCAAGUAAAAAACAUGUUAUUCGAUUAUAAGUGAAUAAAAAUAGUGUUAAAGUAAAUAAAACUAUAUUUAAAGUAAAAGAAAAAGAUUUUUUCUUUUUAAAAAAAGCUUUCUAAAAUAUGGUUUUCAAUUUUAAAGGAAAGAAAAAUAUUGUUAAAGUAAUAGAAAAUGGAUCUAAAGUAGAGGUGGAAACGGGAAAAAGUAUUCAAGUCAAAAAAAAAAAAAUCAACUUAAAAACAUGUUAUUCGAUUAUAAGUAAAGGGAAUUAAUUCGAUUAUAAGGCCGGAGCAGAGCGGAUGUUUGCCUUUCAAUCUCCAUCCCCUUCCCCAC